AACGAACGCGUGCGGCGUGCUUAACACAUGCAAGUCGAACGGGGCUUACCUUCGGGUGAGUCUAGUGGCGGACGGGUGAGUAACGCGUGGUCAUCUGCCUAUGGGUGGGGAUAACUUCCUUAAAGGGGAGCUAAUACCGCAUAUUGCCUUUGGGUUUAAAGGAGUCUUUGACUUCGCCUGUAGAUGAGCCUGCGUGCCAUUAGGUAGUUGGUGGGUAAAGGCCUACCAAGCCAUCGAUGGCUAGCUGGUCUGAGAGGAUGAUCAGCCACACUGGGACUGAGACACGGCCCAG
rnacentral:rRNA from 1 species